GAUGAACGCUGGCGGCAGGCCUAACACAUGCAAGUCGAACGGACACAUGAGGAGCUUUCUCUCUUGACGUUAGCGGCGGACGGGUGAGUGACACGUGUAUCACCUUCCUAUAUGACGGGGAUAACUUCGUGAAACCGGUGCCAAUACCGGCUCAUAUAUUCAACCGCAUGGUGCAAUAGUUAAAGACGGCUUUCCUGUCACUUUUAGAUGAUUCCGCGCCGGAUUAGCUAGUUGGUAAGGUAACGGCUUACCAAGGCGACGAUGCGUAGCCGACCUGAGAGGAUGAUCAGCCACACUGGAACUGAGACACGGUCCAGACUCCUACGGGAGGCAGCAGUGGGGAAUAUUGCGCAAUGGGCGCAAGCCUGAUGCAGCAAUGCCGCGUGAGUGAAGAAGGUCUUCGGGUCGUAAAGCUCUGUUAUUGGGGAAGAAGAGAUGUAUGUGAAUACAUGCACGUCUUGACGGUACCCAAAGAAAAAGCACCGGCUAACUACGUG
rnacentral:rRNA from 1 species